rfam:Sphaerulina musiva SO2202 unplaced genomic scaffold SEPMTscaffold_7, whole genome shotgun sequence.
GGUUUCGUGGCCUAAUGGUAAGGCGUUGCUUUCCGGUUAUCUCCAUUUCAUAGCCUGGCAAAGAUUAUGGGUUCGAGUCCCAUCGGAAUCG